UACGUAGGGGGCCAGCGUUGUUCGGAAUUACUGGGCGUAAAGGGCUCGUAGGUGGCCAACUAAGUCAGACGUGAAAUCCCUCAGCUUAACUGGGGAACUGCGUCUGAUACUGGAUGGCUUGAGAUUGGGAGAGGGACGCGGAAUUCCAGGUGUAGCGGUGAAAUGCGUAGAUAUCUGGAGGAACACCAGCGGCGAAGGCGGCACUCUGGGCUGGUACUGACGCUGAGGAGCGAAAGCGUGGGUAGCAAACAGG
rnacentral:rRNA from 1 species